CCACGUUUGAGAUAUCUUUUUCUGGUAGUUCAGACACAAACCACGACAGCUUAUUGCAGAAUAAUACCUACACUGGACCACCACGUUUGAGAUAUCUUUUUCAGGUAGUUGAAACACAGACCACGACAGCUUAUUGUGUAGAAUACGUUUACAAGCUACCUACACUGCACCGCACGUUUGAGGAGCUAUUACAUAUACCCAACGUUUAUUUCAUAUCGCAAAGAAGCUUUGUUGUAAGCUAACGACCUACGUCAUUAUAUUGCAUUAAUGUGUUUCUUGAAAUGAAUGAAAGCCACAAACCGGAACCCCGGUUUUGAAACGCCUUACAAAUGAAAGUACGUAUUCCUGGGAAAGUGAAAGGCUUUGUAUAAAUUUGGGCGGUGACGUGAGAUCGGACGGCCAGUCGCUCCUUCAAAUAAAUUAUUGCAUGGGAAUCUUCUCCAGCAUUAAACUAUCGUAUGAAUUGAAUUUAAUUAGUGCAGUUUUAGAA